CAAGCCCAGCCAGGGGCCCUGGCGGUUUCAUUUCAGAGAUUAAAUUAUCUCUUUGCAACAGCAACUAAAUGAUGCAGAAAGGAAUUCAAGCGGAGCUAACUGCAAAUCUGCCAGAUGGGAAGGUGUGGGAGGCGAGGGCCAGGCAGUUCUGACAGGGCCAGCCUCUCCUGUCUCAGCCUAGUCCUUGCGAUAGUAACGGGAGUUAGGGAGGCAAAUUAGAUACAGAGAGCGCUAUUGAAAGAAUUUCAGCUCUGAGGACAAUGGCACCUGUGAUCCUAUAAAGCACGUGAGAAAUGAUGAAGACAUUUUCCUCCACAACACAUUCAGGACUGCAGAAUAGCAAUGGGAGCUGUCGUUUAGGAUAAAGAUACUGAAAACAUAUUGGACACUUUGGAACACAAGAUGAAGAUUUCGUUGGGACUUUCAGUCAAGAUGGCUCAGUUAGUUCCUUCCUCAACGCCUGUGCUCCAAACCCAUGGAAAGGGCAGGAUAUUAAUGGGGAGGAGAUAGAGCAAAGUUCAUAAGGGAGAUGAUCUUCUCUGUGCACGAAGAAAGAGACAGGAAGGCCAAAUGCGAGCAGGGCUACAAGGAGGACCUAGUGGCUCCCAGGUCUGGAAGCAGCACUGGAAUCCAGGGCUUGACUCCUGUAAAGGGGACUAAAAGUGCUCACGGCACACAGGAACUCGUGCACAGCUCACGGCGUGAGGCCAGGGGCUGGGGUGAGGUUCCUCGCCUCGAAGCACAGGUGCAAGGAUGCUGAAACUAAAUGACUUUGUCCCAAUUCCGCCUGGGACUUUGGCUUUUAGAAAGCUGCUAGCCUCGGGGGAAACAAGGACACAGAUAUGGAUUCACAUCCAGGAACUCAGCUGAGCUGCCCAUGGCUGAUGGCCUGGACCAGUGACAUUUCCCAUCUGACAGCACAGCAGGAACCCAAAGCACUAGCGUGGAGCGUGAUUGUGUCUGGAGAUCUUUAGGGCUGGAUGAAGACAGCUCAGAACUCCCAGGCAGGUGAGCAGCCGAGCUAGACAAAGGGUAAGGACUUGACCACGGUGGAAGCUAGUCAACGGUAGAGACGGGAUUCAAACCCGGAUGGCCUGGCUCUGGGACCUCAGUCUGGACUUGGACACGGUGUAGCCUCUGCGGAUGAAAGAAGGUGCGUGUUUCCAAAAGCAACUUGACACUUACAGUCCUUGCAGGAAGCCUCUGAGGUGUCACCUCGUGUGCACUCUCUUCAGGUAAAGAGACUCAAUAUUACGAAAGUUUACGUGUUCUAGCACUUUUUCUCAUUAAAUAUAAAGUCACUUUUUAGUGAUUGGGUUAGACAAACCCUGUCCAUAGCCUAAAGCUGGAUUUUCUCCUAAACAGUGAUUAUCAGAACUUUUCUAUUUUAGAAAACCAAAUGAAGAAUGAGGCAGGCUUUUCUUUUCUUUGCUGAGGAAGAUUCACCCUGAACUAACAUCUGUGUCAAUCUUCCUCUGUUUUAUAUGUG